ensembl:lincRNA
CACGGUGAUCGUGUGAGAACCGUUCCCACUGGUAACGGCCCCGACCCGGGCUGUGCGCCUGCUGAGCUGGGGUGCUCCGUUUCUCGCUGUGUGUCUUGCCGGUUUACAGCGACUGGCUGCUGUGGCCUCAGCCCUCUUUUGGUGGAUUUUCAGUGUACUGAGUUUUGGGGUUUUGGGCUUUUUUUUUAUUUUUGUUUUUGCUUGAGGAUAAGAGUUAUAAUUUCUAAACUUACCCUGCAAAUUGGAGCAAUAGAAGCUUAUUUAAAAUUUUUCAAAGAAAUUUUGAACUAUAAAUUGAUAUCUUAAUUUUACAAUUAUAUAGCUGAGAAAACUUUGAUUAAAUUGCCUGAUCAGCUUUUCAGGGUAUGAAGGAGGUAGAGCCUGUAGUUAAAUUCCACAUACGUGGUACCGACUGCAAAAAUUCUUGAACAACAUUCUACUUCACCUUUCCCCGAUAUGACUAGAGUGAUUGCAAAAUCCAGUUUCACAUAUUUUAAAUAAAAAUGAAGCUAAGGGAUGAUGAAAAUAUCCUGCUUACCCACACGGAAUCUGAGUUCAGGAUCUAUUGGGAUGUUCUAACCACCACACCUGGAGUAAGCAGGCGGAAGCUCAGAACCCAAAGCAAGCUCCUAAGGUUUAAAAUAAAACUUCAGACACUGAUCUCUUCAAACUUUAUCCAAGGAAACCGGAGAGCUAAAAGCCAAGACGUCAAACCGCAGAGCUGCUGCAGCCUAGGUCGCGUCGUGUUGCCAACUGUGAAAGCGCCUGGGAAGGAAGCGGGACUGCGCGUGCUGCAGGCUCCUCUGCGCUGGGCCAGGCUGGGGAAGAUCAGCUCGCGGAGGAGCGGGAUCUGCCCAGGAGUUUUUAUUCCUAAGGGACAGGCAGGGACUCACAGCCUUGCUUUAAUCACCUCGCACUCAGCACAGCCAUCUCGGGAACAAAAGAAGCAACAUUUGAACGCUUGCCAUCCAAACGCUGGGACUUUAAUAAGGACUUUAUUGUUUUCAAUGGGAAACUAUAAAAUCUGAAAAAUUCCUCAUAACUUAACACAUGGGUACCUCCACUCCCUCUCGUGAAGAGCUGUAUGGUCUCCUAGGGCAUAUUUCAAUUUCACAAGGCUUAGCACACUUCUAGGAUAUGUCCCAGCAAUGAGCAAAAGAAAAAAAUAUUUCCUCCGUGCUAGACUAAUUGUCGCUUGUCUUCUUUUCCUUUUUAAAUUUAGUCUCCAUGCAAGUCUCUGGUUGCUCAUUCAGAAAAAGUGUUACAAGGAACCUGCGAGGCAGUGUGAAAAGGGAUCAGGUAUAACUAACUAGCGAACUAGUUACAUAGUCAUCUUGGGUGGUCAAGAACAUUUUGGACAGGGAAAAUUUGCUUCAGAAUCUCCUGGCAUUGAAAACAUCUGUGUUAAAUCCAUGUUACUCUUCAUUAGUACAUCUAACUCAGAAAUAUUUUACAAAUCAAUACUAAAUUUUUGAAAUCAAAUUGAUACCGUGGAAACAUGGGAUUAGUGGAAAUGUUACUCUGUAGGCAUUUUAGUUUCUCUUCAAAGGAAAAGUUAGCAUGCUCCCUGUUUCAUUGUAUAUCAUACCAGCUUCGAACGAGUUUUUGAACACUUCCUAAUGGUAGACUGUUCUUAGUCUUGUUUCUACACAGAUUUACAUGAAGACAGUACAAGCGUGCUUCCCUGACAUGAAGUCAAUACCAAAAAUGCCACAGUGUUUCCACCUAUCAUGAUAUAUCUACAUACUUAAGCUUAUAUGGCUCAUGUUAACAAAAUGACUCAGAGCUCCUCAUUUUUAUUUUAUAGGUAUAUAUGUCUAUCACUUCUUCAAUUAAACAAAAGGAAAAUUUAUAUUUUGUCUUUUAUAGAUAGAUAUAUUGAAUGAUAUUAAAAUCAAUGAUAAUUCCUAGGAAUCAUAAUUUUUUACAUUGUUGCUUCUUUCAUUUAGGGAGAUGUUUAUUUUGUUGUUGUGGUUACUGAUUAUUGAACCCAGGGCUUUUGUGCUGAAGUACAACUCCACCCCUUUUCUUAAUUUUUUCUUUUUGAAACAGAGUCUUGCUAAGUUACUCAAGUGGGAUUCCAAGGAGU